rnacentral:rRNA from 1 species
UACGGAAGGCAGCAGUGGGGAAUAUUGCACAAUGGGCGAAAGCCUGAUGCAGCUAUGCCGCGUGUAUGAAGAAGGCCUUAGGGUUGUAAAGUACUUUCAUCGGGGAGGAAAAACAAAACUAAUAAUUUUAUUUCUUGACGUUACCCGAAAAAGAAGCACCGGCUAACUCCGUGCCAGCAGCCGCGGUAAUACGGAGGGUGCUAGCGUUAAUCAGAAUUACUGGGCGUAAAGAGCACGUAGGUGGUUUUUUUAAGUCAGAUGUGAAAUCCCUGGGCUUAACCUAGGAACUGCAUUUUGAAACUGAAAUACUGAGUAUCGUAGAGGGAGGUAGAAUUCUAGGUGUAGCGGUGAAAUGCGUAGAUAUCUGGAGGAAUACCUGUGGCGAAAGCGGCCUCCUAAACGAAUACUGACACUGAGGUGCGAAAGCGUGGGGAGCAAACAGGGAUUAGAUACC